UACGUAGGGGCGAGCGUUGUCCGGAUUAUUGGGCGUAAAGAGCGUGUAGGCGGUUUGGUAGGUCCGCUGUGAAAACCUCGAGGCUCAACCUCGAGACGCCGGUGGAAACCAUCAGGCUAGAGUCCGGAAGAGGAGAGUGGAAUUCCUGGUGUAGCGGUGAAAUGCGCAGAUAUCGUAAGGAAGACCAGUGGCGAAGGCGGGU
rnacentral:rRNA from 1 species